ACGCGCAGCUCCGGGACGGAGAUGUCUCCGAAGCCACAGCUCCCCUCCCUGCUGAACCCUGCGGCCAGGGAGCGUGGCUGCACGCCAGACUUUGGUGCCCGACCUCCUGGCUGGAUGUUUUAACCACCAGCAGAGAAGAGGAGCAGCAAACCCAGCUGGGGCAGGUGUGAUGCAGCCCCCUGUCACGCACAAGGCUGAGUGAGAAGUUGAACUUUUGUACAAAAGCACAAAUGCCUACGGGAGGAAUGUUAAGGCUUCUGUCAUCUUGCAAAUAUUUAAAGCAGGGGAAUGGCUGUUCCUUGCUGCAGGAAGGAUGGUGACAGCGGGAGGCAGGAGAAGGCUGAUCCAUCAUUGCAAGGAAUAGAUUAGGGACCCUCAUAUGCCAGGACGUGGUGGCAGGAGUGACACCG